UACGUAGGGCGCAAGCGUUGUCCGGAUUUAUUGGGCGUAAAGGGCUCGUAGGCGGUCUGUCGCGUCGGGCGUGAAAACUCAGGGCUUAACCCUGAGCCUGCUUCCGAUACGGGCAGACUAGAGGUAUGCAGGGGAGAACGGAAUUCCUGGUGUAGCGGUGGAAUGCGCAGAUAUCAGGAGGAACACCGGUGGCGAAGGCGGUUCUCUGGGCAGUUCCUGACGCUGAGGAGCGAAAGUGUGGGGAGCGAACAGG
rnacentral:rRNA from 1 species